GAAUUCGCCCUUAGAGUUUGAUCCUGGCUCAGAACGAACGCUGGCGGCAGGCCUAACACAUGCAAGUCGAGCGCACCUUCGGGUGAGCGGCGGACGGGUUAGUAACGCGUGGGAACGUACCCUUCUCUAUGGAAUAGCCAUUGGAAACGAUGAGUAAUACCAUAUACGCCCUUCGGGGGAAAGAUUUAUCGGAGAAGGAUCGGCCCGCGUUAGAUUAGAUAGUUGGUGGGGUAAUGGCCUACCAAGUCUACGAUCUAUAGCUGGUUUUAGAGGAUGAUCAGCAACACUGGGACUGAGACACGGCCCAGACUCCUACGGGAGGCAGCAGUGGGGAAUCUUAGACAAUGGGCGCAAGCCUGAUCUAGCCAUGCCGCGUGUGUGAUGAAGGUCUUAGGAUCGUAAAGCACUUUCGCUAGGGAUGAUAAUGACAGUACCUAGUAAAGAAACCCCGGCUAACUCCGUGCCAGCAGCCGCGGUAAUAAGGGCG
rnacentral:rRNA from 1 species